UACAGAGGUCUCAAGCGUUGUUCGGAUUCAUUGGGCGUAAAGGGUGCGUAGGUGGCGCGCUAAGUCAGGCGUGAAAUUUCGGAGCUUAACUCCGAAACUGCAUUUGAUACUGGUGUGCUUGAGGACUGGAGAGGAGACUGGAAUUCAUGGUGUAGCAGUGAAAUGCGUAGAGAUCAUGAGGAAGACCAGUGGCGAAGGCGGGUCUCUGGACAGUUCCUGACACUGAGGCACGAAGGCCAGGGGAGCAAACGGG
rnacentral:rRNA from 1 species